UAGGACGAACGCUGGCGGCGUGCCUAACACAUGCAAGUCGAGCGGAGAUGAUGUGAGGAAGUUUUCGGAUGGAAUCACAUUAUUUUAGCGGCGGACGGGUGAGUAACGCGUGAGCGACCAACCUUGCACAGGGGGAUAACGGACCGAAAGGUUCACUAAUACCGCAUGAGACCACGGUGUUGCAUGACACAGGGGUCAAAGGAGCAAUCCGGUGCAAGACGGGCUCGCGUCCGAUUAGGUAGUUGGUGGGGUAAUGGCCCACCAAGCCUAUGAUCGGUAGCCGACCUGAGAGGGUGAUCGGCCACAUUGGAACUGAGAUACGGUCCAAACUCCUACGGGAGGCAGCAGUGGGGAAUAUUGGGCAAUGGGGGAAAAACCCCCUGACCCAGCAACGCCGCGUGAAGGAAGAAGGUUUUCGGAUUGUAAACUUCUGUCCUUGGUGAAGAGAAGAAGACGGUAGCCAAGGAGGAAGCCCCGGCUAACUACGUGCCAGCAGCGGC
rnacentral:rRNA from 1 species